GAUGGAGGGGGAUAACUACUGGAAACGGUAGCUAAUACCGCAUAACGUCGCAAGACCAAAGAGGGGGACCUUAGGGCCUCUUGCCAUCGGAUGUGCCCAGAUGGGAUUAGCUAGUAGGUGGGGUAACGGCUCACCUAGGCGACGAUCCCUAGCUGGUCUGAGAGGAUGACCAGCCACACUGGAACUGAGACACGGUCCAGACUCCUACGGGAGGCAGCAGUGGGGAAUAUUGCACAAUGGGCGCAAGCCUGAUGCAGCCAUGCCGCGUGUAUGAAGAAGGCCUUCGGGUUGUAAAGUACUUUCAGCGGGGAGGAAGGGAGUAAAGUUAAUACCUUUGCUCAUUGACGUUACCCGCAGAAGAAGCACCGGCUAACUCCGUGCCAGCAGCCGCGGUAAUACGGAGGGUGCAAGCGUUAAUCGGAAUUACUGGGCGUAAAGCGCACGCAGGCGGUUUGUUAAGUCAGAUGUGAAAUCCCCGGGCUCAACCUGGGAACUGCAUCUGAUACUGGCAAGCUUGAGUCUCGUAGAGGGGGGUAGAAUUC
rnacentral:rRNA from 1 species